rnacentral:tRNA from 1 species
GGGGAUUUAGCUCAGUGGUUCCAGUGUCUGCUUCACAAGCACAAGGGCCUUGGUUCAAUUCCAGGUACCA